AUAAUGACAUAUUUUAUCCUUCUUACUAUUUGAAUUAAUUUAAACAAAAAAAGAAAAAGAAAAAGGGGCAUGGACCCCACUCGAAAUCUUCAUCUUCUCUCUCCUUCAAACCCGAUCUCCACCGGAAUCCCAAUCCUCCUCCUCCAUAGCUAAAUCGAUGAGCGCCUCCUCCAUUAAACUCCAUCAUCUCUCUCAUCAACACGAGAAGCAACCCAACAACUGAGGUAAUAC
rnacentral:lncRNA from 1 species